AGCGAAUAGAUACCCAGGUAGUCCCAGCUGUAAACGAUGCAGGCUAGGUGUUUGGACGGCCACGUGCCGUUCUAGUGCCGCAGGGAAGCUGUUAAGCCUGCCGCCUGGGGAGUACGAUCGCAAGAUUGAAACUUAAAGGAAUUGGCGGGGGAGCACCACAAGGGGUGAAAGCUUGCGGUUUAAUUGGAGUCAACGCCGGAAAUCUCACCGGGAGCGACAGCAGUGUGAAAGCCAGAUUAAAGGUCUUGCUAGACGAGCUGAGAGGAGGUGCAUGGCCGUCGCCAGUUCGUGCCGUGAGGUGUCCUGUUAAGUCAGGCAACGAUCGAGACCCGCAUCCUCUGUUGCAACCAGCUUUGUGCUGGGCACACUGAGGAGACCGCCACUGAUAAAGUGGAGGAAGGAGCGGGCCACGGCAGGUCAGUAUGCCCCGAAUCUCCCGGGCCACACGCGAGCUGCAAUGGCAGGUACAAUGGGUUCCGACCUCGAAAGGGGGAGGCAAUCUCGAAAGCCUGCCGUAGUUGGGGUC
rnacentral:rRNA from 1 species